GGGAGAGUAGUUCAAUGGUAGAACAUCGGUCUCCAAAACCGAGAAUGAGGGUUCGAUUCCUUCCUCUCCUG
rfam:Parcubacteria bacterium GW2011_GWC2_44_22 TW45_C0017, whole genome shotgun sequence.